GUUGAACGCUAGCGGGAUGCUUUACACAUGCAAGUCGAACGAGUGGCGGACGGGUGAGUAAUAUGUCGGAACGUGCCCAGUAGCGGGGGAUCACUACUCGAAAGAGUGGCUAAUACCGCAUACUCUUGGAGCGGCCGAUAUCGGUUUAGCUAGUUGGGGGGGUAAAGGCUCACCGAGGCAACGAUCCGUAGCUGGUUUGAGAGGACGACCAGUAAGACUGGGACUGAGACACGGCCCAGACUCCUACGUGAGGCAGCAGUGGGGAAUGUUGGACAAGGGGGGAAACCCUGAUCAAGCCAUCCCGCGUGUAUGAGAAGGCCUUCGGGUUGUAAAGCACUUUUGGCAGAGAAGCGGUAUCUGCAGAAUAAGCACCGGCUAACUACGUGCCAGCCGCCGCGGUAAUUC
rnacentral:rRNA from 1 species